rnacentral:rRNA from 1 species
UACGUAGGUGGCAAGCGUUGUUCGGAAUUAUUGGGCGUAAAGAGCUCGUAGGCGGCCUGUUGCGUCCGCUGUGAAAGCCCGGGGCUUAACCCCGGGUCGGCAGUGGAUACGGGCAGGCUAGAGGUAGGUAGGGGAGAAUGGAAUUCCCGGUGUAGCGGUGAAAUGCGCAGAUAUCGGGAGGAACACCGGUGGCGAAGGCGGUUCUCUGGGCCUUACCUGACGCUGAGGAGCGAAAGCGUGGGGAGCGAACAGG